UUCCCGCACGAGCGCAACCCUCGUCUUUAGUUUAAAACAACUCUAGAGAGACUGCCAGUGAUAAACUGGAGGAAGGUGAGGAUGACGUCAAGUCAGCAUGCCCCUUACGCCCUGGGCUACACACGUGCUACAAUGGUUGGGACAAAGAGAUGCGAACUCGCGAGAGUAAGCUAACCUCAAAAACCCAAUCUCAGUUCGGAUUGCAGGCUGCAACUCGCCUGCAUGAAGGUGGAAUCGCUAGUAAUCGCAGGUCAUCCAUACUGCGGUGAAUUCGUUCCCGGGCCUU
rnacentral:rRNA from 1 species